rnacentral:snRNA from 1 species
AUACUUACCUGGUGCUGGGCAUGCGGUGAUCAUUGAGGUCGCGGCCCCGUGCGGAGACCCACCAUUGCACUGCGGUUGGUUGAAGCGCGCCACUUCCUCAAAUUGGGGUAGCUGGGGCAUUUAAUUUUUGGUAGUGGGGCUCGGCGUUCGCGCCAGCCCUGC